AAUUUUUGAGCCUACCCAUUUUUAACCCUAAUUCCCCUUCCCCUUCUCCCAUCUCCUCCCAUACCUACCAUCAGCAGCCGCCACCUAUCCUCGCGUCGCUCCAUGUCGGCACCGGCGGCGCCGACGCUAACCACCCCCCGCCAGGUCCCUCCUCAUCUAUCCCGUGCCGGGCACCUCCCCAUCUAUCCCGUGCCAGACCCCUCCCUGUCAACCCCACGCCAUGCCCCUCCCCAUUCAGAUCAUGGCCUCGAGAUAUGGCGCCCCAGUGCUACACUUCGAGCUGAGGCGGCAGUGGUGGCGGCAGGACGGCUUGCCGGAUCAAGUCCCCGAGGUCGCCAGCGGCGGGCACGGAUCCAGCUGCGGGCACAGAUCUAGGUCCAUCCGGCGGCGGGCACAGAUCCAGAUCCAUCCGGCUGAGAGCCAACGUUAUUCUCGUGGGGAUGUUCAGCUCUGCAGAUUAUAAAAUAGCAUGCAUUUGAAACAAAUCUGCACGUUAUGAAAGUUCGGACAUUAGAACUGGGAAGAAAGGUCAAGCCAAUUUCAUCACUAGCAUGAGACUUGGCAAUAUUGCAAGGUGGAGCGGACAGCACCGGCCGCAUUGAUUUCAUUAGAUGGUUCUUCACAAUCUCCAAUUAAUUCAGUAAUUGAGUUCCAAGCUGAUUGUAGUCUCCUACAGAUUGGAUAAAUGGGUUGCCCUCCUGCCUGAAAACAACCGAGAAGAAGAAAAACUGCACACCACCGCCUGCUUGGCCUCGCACUCUUGCCUCCCAAGUAGAGGUGAUGGAUUUUAUACUAUUGUUUUUCUGGAAAUGCGUGUGCACAGUUGCAAUCUCAAGGACCGAUGGAAAAGAUGGUUUGGCAGUUUGGAGAUUGAAGUGGUCUGAACAGCCGUCGGGAAGCGGUGGUGUAGUGUUGGAUAUUAAAAAUCAGCUAAUAGUGCAUCUUUUUCUUGGAAGUCAUGUUACUUGAAAUAUAAAAAAAUGCUUAUACGCUUUGUAGAUAUGCUUCUGAUGUUUUCAUAUUAAGCUUUGUUUUUUGGAAUCAGACUACAGUGCUGGAACUCCGUACUGUCAUGUGAAUAAUUGCUAUUUUUUGAAUGAAUAUAAUUUGAUUGUCUUGUUGUAAA